CGACUCUUACCUGCCUGUUCAGGGCCUUCGGCAAGACCCAUGAAUAAUUUUUGGAAACCCCGCACCAUGCUGGGGUU
rnacentral:snRNA from 1 species